AAUUGAAGAGUUUGAUCAUGGCUCAGCUUGAACGCUGGNGGCAGGCCUAACACAUGCAAGUCGAACGGUAACAGGAAGAAGCUUGCUUCUUUGCUGACGAGUGGCGGACGGGGGAGUAAUGUCUGGGAAACUGCCUGAUGGAGGGGGAUAACUACUGGAAACGGUAGCUAAUACCGCAUAACGUCGCAAGACCAAAGAGGGGGACCUUCGGGCCUCUUGCCAUCGGAUGUGCCCAGAUGGGAUUAGCUAGUAGGUGGGGUAACGGCUCACCUAGGCGACGAUCCCUAGCUGGUCUGAGAGGAUGACCAGCCACACUGGAACUGAGACACGGUCCAGACUCCUACGGGAGGCAGCAGGGGGGAAUAUUGCACAAUGGGCGCAAGCCUGAUGCAGCCAUGCCGCGUGUAUGAAGAAGGCCUUCGGGUUGUAAAGUACUUUCAGCGGGGAGGAAGGGAGUAAAGUUAAUACCUUUACUCAUUGACGUUACCCGCAGAAGAAGCACCGGCUAACUCCGUGCC
rnacentral:rRNA from 1 species